rnacentral:misc_RNA from 1 species
AACUUUUGGCAAUGGAUCACUUGGCUCUGGCAUCGAUGAAGAACGCAGCGAAAUGCGAUGAGUAAUGCGAAUUGCAGAAUUCAGUGAGUCAUCGAAUCUUUGAACGCACAUUGCGCCCCUUGGUAUUCCGAGGGGCAUGCCUGUUCGAGCGUCAUUAUAAUCCUCAAGCCUAGCUUGGUAUUGGAGUCGCUAUACAGCGGCCCCUAAAAUCAGUGGCGGUGCCUAUAGGUUCUACGCGUAGUAAUUUUUCUCGCUAUAGAUCCCUAUAAGUGCUUGCCAACAACCCCAAUUUUUUCAGGUUGACCUCAAAUCGGGUGAGACUACCCGCUGAACUUAAGCAUAUCAAUAAGCGGAGGCU